rnacentral:lncRNA from 1 species
ACUCGCAGGGCUCUCACUGCUCGCGGUGCGGCAGCCGCGCGCGGACUCCGCUGCGCCUCCGAGGGGGCCAGGCACGCGGUCAAGAUCUGUGGCCACUGGUUCCCAUGGUUUCGAGGCACCAUGAGGCUCGCUGGCUCCUGGAAACUUUGGCUUUGGGCAGCACUUCUCCUGCUUCCUGCUUCCACUUCCGUGACGGUUAGGGACAAGCCAGAAAAGCAGUGUCCUGUACUGAGAACAGAGGAGCAUCAGUUUACACAAGACAAUGGAGAUAAACUUGAAGUUUCAGGUUUUGACCUAGGAGAGAGUUUUUCUAUGAGACGUGUGUUUUGUGAAGGUGAUAAAACCUGUUUCAAAUUGGGAAGUUCUCUUCUUAUUAGAGACACCAUUAAGGUAUUUCCCAAAGGCCUUCCUGAGCAUUUCGCGAUGGUGGCCAUGUUUCGGGUACGAAGAAGCACCAAAAAGGAACGGUGGUUUCUGUGGCAGGUUUUAAACCAGCAGAAUAUGCCACAGGUGUCUAUAGUAAUUGAUGGUGGAAAGAAGGUGGUGGAGUUUAUGUUCCGAGCUGCCGAGGGAGAUGUGUUGAACUUCAUUUUUAAAAAUCGAGAACUCCGUUCUUUGUUUGAUCGUCAGUGGCAUAAACUUGGCAUUGGCAUACAAUCCCAGGGCAUUUCACUCUAUAUGGACUGUAACUUAGUUGCAAGCCAGAAUACUGAUGGAAAAGGUGCUUUGGACUUUCGUGGAAGGACAAUUAUUAUGGCUCGAGCUUCAGACGGCAGGCCUGUGGAUGUUGAACUUCACCAACUUAAAAUCUACUGUGACUUGAACUUCAUAGCUCAAGAAACUUGUUGUGAGAUGUCAGACACUAAGUGCCCAGAGCAGGUUGGCUUUGGAAGUACUGCAUCUUUAUCAGUACCUGCGUAUGCCAGUCGAAUGUCUGCAUUUCUGCCAGCAAAGCAGGAACUAACAGACCAGUGCCAGUGUAUUCCAGAGAAGGGAGAAGCAGGAUUACAGGGAGCUCCAGGCUCACCGGGCCAGAAAGGAGACAAAGGACAGCAGGGUGAAGUUGGUCUUAAAGGUGAAUCAGGCGCUCCUGGAAUUCCUGGUGAAAAGGGUGAAAAUGGUUUACAUGGAGUUCCAGGAUUACCCGGUCAAAAGGGAGAGCAAGGUUUUGAAGGCCUUAAAGGAGAAAUUGGUGAAAAGGGUUCGAAAGGCGAUGUGGGUCCUCGUGGUCCACCUGGCCCAAAAGGAGAAAAGGUAC